UUCCACACAAAGAGUCAUUGACAAAAAUAUAUGUAAUUUGGCUCAUUAGCAUUAGCCAUCGCACACCCACUUUCGUUUUAUUUAUCACUGGAGGAAGAGCAAUGCCAUAAUAAACAGUGCUGGGAGAUUUCCAGCAGAACAGGUUUUUGUCAGAGGAUGCUGAUUUGUCGUAAGCAAAAUAUUUCGCAGAAGCACAUCUGUUUGGGUGAACUUCCGCUGCAGCCCAGGCAGGUUUCCAUCACUGUCCUGCCUGACUUCCGGCCAGCCUGCCUGGCCGCUCUCCAGGCUCCGGGACGGCUCGGGACUAAACCUGGGAUUCUUUCUGAUUCCUUGUUUUGUUUUGUUUUUUUUUCCCCUCUCUUUUGAAACGAGAGGUAAAAGGUCUUGGAAGAAAUAUAAACCAGCCCUGCAUGCCUUUUUCCAAUUGUUCAGCAUUCGUUUUGUGGUGGUUUUUUUAAUAAUGAUGACAUUGCACAGCACAUCUUGAUUUGUUACAUGGGAGAGCCAGAAUAGCUUUCCUCCCUGAUGAAGGUUAAGCUGCCCUGGAAGUGAAACAGUUUUCAUGCCAUGUUGAGCUUCAUUUCAGAGCAUUUCCUGGAGAACUGGUGCCAGUAUCUUCUCCUCCUCCCUAUUUUCUAAACACUUAAUUGCAUCGCAGUCCCUCUGAAACAGCAGUGCCUUUCUGCUCUGUCUCCUUCACUUGCUUCUCCCAGCCUGGUCUCUAAUUCAGAGGCUGCAUCUACCUCUCAUAUGACUUCUGGACACUUGCAGUUGCUGGUCAUCAUGGUUGACAACAGGUGGUUUCCUGGGACCUCGGGCACCAGAUUUACUCUAGAAAUCCACCUCAGUGGCCGGCUGCUUGUGUAUUAGCUCUGCUGCUGCUUCCUGCUUUAUCUGCCCCAUUUUUAUUGGAUACUUCCUUGCACUUCAGCCUGCACCCGCUGGGUGGUUGUUUGGGGUUUUUCUUUACAGUGGGGUUAUCUGCAAGCAGAACCCUGUGCAGAAGUGUGCCCAGGAUCUUAGGCUUCAUAGAUGAAGCAAAUUCUCUUCCACCUCUGAGCUCAGGUUACAGGCAUUCAGCUUUAUCUGCCUUUGUACUCCAGGCUCAACACUUCUUUCUUUCAACUCUCCUAUAGUUGUUGCUUUUUUUCUUUUUUCUUUUUUUCCCUUCAGACCAUAAGUUUCAUCAGUAUCUGUGUACUUGGAUUAACUUGGCCUUGAAAAGCAGCUGACUAAGAAGCAUUUGGUCAAAAUCGAGAAGAUCUGAUUUUUAUCAUCAAAAAUAGUAUGAAAAUCUGUUGGGAUUGAACCGGUGCAGAAUAUGC
ensembl:lncRNA